UGACAGUGAUGUCAUUAUCCCGAAGCUGAACAUUUUCUGAUUGAAAAAACCUUUAUUGGAUCUGAUUGCUGAGUU